rnacentral:rRNA from 1 species
ACAAAGAGCGCAUCAUGGAUGCGGUAAGCUGCGAUAAGCUACGGAGAGCGGCAAACACGCUUUGACCCGUAGAUUUCCGAAUGGGAUAACCUGAGUGGGGUAACACCUGCUCGAGUUCCUGUGAAUACAUAGCAGGAACAUCGCGACACCCGGUGAAGUGAAACAUCUCAGUAACCGGAGGAAAAGAAAAAGAAAUUGAUUCCGUAAGUAGUGGCGAGCGAAAGCGGAACAGGCUAAACCGAUCGAUUUAUCGAUCGGGGUUGUAGGAGCCCGAUGUGGUAGUGCAAAGGUUAGGUGAAGCGAAUGGAAAAUCGCCUCAUAGAGGGUGACAAGCCCGUAACCGAAAACUGGAGCACGCCUAGGGAUUUCCUGAGUAAUACGAUGGACGUGAAGCUUCGUAUGAAUCCGUGCGGACCACCGCAUAAGCCUAAAUACUAAUUGGCGACCGAUAGUGAACAAGUACCGCGAGGGAAAGGUGAAAAGAACCGCUGUGAGCGGAGUGAAAUAGUACCUGAAAUGAUGUGCUUACAAGGUGUCAAAGCCCGCAAGGGUGAUGGCGUGCCUUUU